AAGUAUAUGUAAAUUUGUUUACUUUUUAAGAUUUUCUAUUUUUUUAGAGAAUAAAAAAGUUAAAUUUUGAAUGACACAUGUAAACAUCUGAUCGUUUGACUUGAUACGUGGCACAAUCCUAUGAGUUAGCAAAUUUGAAAACCAUACUUUAUAUAAUAAGAUACGUAUGCAAUUAAUUAAAAAU
rnacentral:sRNA from 1 species